rnacentral:rRNA from 1 species
CAUGCAAGUCGAGGGGCAGCAUGGUCUUAGCUUGCUAAGGCCGAUGGCGACCGGCGCACGGGUGAGUAACACGUAUCCAACCUGCCGUCUACUCUUGGACAGCCUUCUGAAAGGAAGAUUAAUACAAGAUGGCAUCAUGAGUCCGCAUGUUCACAUGAUUAAAGGUAUUCCGGUAGACGAUGGGGAUGCGUUCCAUUAGAUAGUAGGCGGGGUAACGGCCCACCUAGUCUUCGAUGGAUAGGGGUUCUGAGAGGAAGGUCCCCCACAUUGGAACUGAGACACGGUCCAAACUCCUACGGGAGGCAGCAGUGAGGAAUAUUGGUCAAUGGGCGAGAGCCUGAACCAGCCAAGUAGCGUGAAGGAUGACUGCCCUAUGGGUUGUAAACUUCUUUUAUAAAGGAAUAAAGUCGGGUAUGGAUACCCGUUUGCAUGUACUUUAUGAAUAAGGAUCGGCUAACUCCGUGCCAGCAGCCGCGGUAAUACGGAGGAUCCGAGCGUUAUCCGGAUUUAUUGGGUUUAAAGGGAGCGUANAUGGAUGUUUAAGUCAGUUGUGAAAGUUUGCGGCUCAACCGUAAAAUUGCAGUUGAUACUGGAUAUCUUGAGUGCAGUUGAGGCAGGCGGAAUUCGUGGUGUAGCGGUGAAAUGCUUAGAUAUCACGAAGAACUCCGAUUGCGAAGGCAGCCUGCUAAGCUGCAACUGACAUUGAGGCUCGAAAGUGUGGGUAUCAAACAGGAUUAGAUACCCUGGUAGUCCACACGGUAAACGAUGAAUACUCGCUGUUUGCGAUAUACUGCAAGCGGCCAAGCGAAAGCGUUAAGUAUUCCACCUGGGGAGUACGCCGGCAACGGUGAAACUCAAAGGAAUUGACGGGGGCCCGCACAAGCGGAGGAACAUGUGGUUUAAUUCGAUGAUACGCGAGGAACCUUACCCGGGCUUAAAUUGCAGAUGAAUUACGGUGAAAGCCGUAAGCCGCAAGGCAUCUGUGAAGGUGCUGCAUGGUUGUCGUCAGCUCGUGCCGUGAGGUGUCGGCUUAAGUGCCAUAACGAGCGCAACCCUUGUUGUCAGUUACUAACAGGUUCCGCUGAGGACUCUGACAAGACUGCCAUCGUAAGAUGUGAGGAAGGUGGGGAUGACGUCAAAUCAGCACGGCCCUUACGUCCGGGGCUACACACGUGUUACAAUGGGGGGUACAGAGGGCCGCUACCACGCGAGUGGAUGCCAAUCCCCAAAACCUCUCUCAGUUCGGACUGGAGUCUGCAACCCGACUCCACGAAGCUGGAUUCGCUAGUAAUCGCGCAUCAGCCACGGCGCGGUGAAUACGUUCCCGGGCCUUGUACACACCGCCCGUCAAGCCAUGGGAGCCGGGGGUACCUGAAGUGCGUAACCGCGAGGAGCGCCCUAGGG